rnacentral:rRNA from 1 species
CCUACGGGAGGCAGCAGUGGGGAAUCUUGCGCAAUGGGCGAAAGCCUGACGCAGCAACGCCGCGUGCGGGAAGAAGGCCUUAGGGUUGUAAACCGCUUUCAGUAGGAACGAAAAUGACGGUACCUGCAGAAGAAGGUGCGGCCAACUACGUGCCAGCAGCCGCGGUGACACGUAGGCACCAAGCGUUGUCCGGAUUUAUUGGGCGUAAAGAGCUCGUAGGCGGUUCAGUAAGUCGGGUGUGAAAACUCUGGGCUUAACCCAGAGCCGCCACUCGAUACUGCUGUGACUUGAGUUCGGUAGGGGAGCAGGGAAUUCCUAGUGUAGCGGUGAAAUGCGCAGAUAUUAGGAGGAACACCGGUGGCGAAGGCGCUGCUCUGGGCCGAUACUGACGCUGAGGAGCGAAAGCGUGGGUAGCAAACAGGAUUAGAUACCCUGGUAGUCCACGCCGUAAAACGUUGGGCACUAGGUGUGGGUUCCAACCAACGGAAUACCGCGCCGUCGCUAACGCAUUAAGUGCCCGCCUCGGGGAGUACGGCGGCAACGGCUAAAACCUACAAACUAGAAUUAGACGG